CAGUCGAACGGUAACAUAAAGAAGCUUGCUUCUUUGAUGACGAGUGGCGGACGGGUGAGUAAUGCUUGGGAAUCUAGCUUAUGGAGGGGGAUAACUACGGGAAACUGUAGCUAAUACCGCGUAGAAUCGGGAGAUGAAAGUGUGGGACCUUCGGGCCACAUGCCAUAGGAUGAGCCCAAGUGGGAUUAGGUAGUUGGUGAGGUAAAGGCUCACCAAGCCGACGAUCUCUAGCUGGUCUGAGAGGAUGGCCAGCCACACUGGGACUGAGACACGGCCCAGACUCCUACGGGAGGCAGCAGUGGGGAAUAUUGCGCAAUGGGGGCAACCCUGACGCAGCCAUGCCGCGUGAAUGAAGAAGGCCUUCGGGUUGUAAAGUUCUUUCGGUAGCGAGGAAGGCAUUUAGUUUAAUAGACUAGGUGAUUGACGUUAACUACAGAAGAAGCACCGGCUAACUCCGUGCCAGCAGCCGCGGUAAUACGGAGGGUGCGAGCGUUAAUCGGAAUAACUGGGCGUAAAGGGCACGCAGGCGGUGACUUAAGUGAGGUGUGAAAGCCCCGGGCUUAACCUGGGAAUUGCAUUUCAUACUGGGUCGCUAGAGUACUUUAGGGAGGGGUAGAAUUCCACGUGUAGCGGUGAAAUGCGUAGAUAUAUGGAGGAACACCAGUGGCGAAGGCGGCUCUCUGGUCUGUAACUGACGCUG
rnacentral:rRNA from 1 species